rnacentral:miRNA from 1 species
AUAUAUAGUGUCCAAAUAUUUCCAGACCUAAGUGUGUGUGUGUGUGUGUAUACAUAUAUACAUACACACACACACACACACACACUUAGGUCUGGAAAUAUUUGGACACU